GCCGAGACAUACAGAUGGAUGCGAAAUAUCAGAGGGGGAGAAAAUGAGGUCAAAAACAAAAUCGAUGGGAAACGAGGGGAGUCUGGCGUAUCAGAAAAGCAGACAGUCUCAAUAAAACAUCAAUCCUCUAUCUUUGCAUGGGAGAACGCUUGAACGGAGAAGGUUUGCAUAAGCAAAUAUCUCGGAUCUGAAACCAGGAACAAGAAGUUGGACUAAUCAUGAAGCUUGCUCUAUUAGCUCUGAAAAAAAACAAAAAGCAAGAAGAUGGCAUUUCUCCGCUCCUCCUGCUACUGCAGCCCCGGUGCUGAACGGACAGCGCCAUUUCAGCACCCCCAGUGUUGUGGAUAGCCAGGAAGCACAUGGCUGCAAGGCGGGGCGGCAAAAGCACGCCACAAUCCAGGCAGCCAAUCAGAGCAGUGCUGUAAGCUCUUCACCUUCUGUGAGAAUAGCAGAGAGAGCACCAUGGGGUGCAAUGCCUCCUCAAGAGUAAAGUCGAAUGUAGCACUACAACUACUGUGCUUUUCUCCCUCUUAUUUGGAAGACAUCCCGUGGACUCCAAAGACGAUGCUACCUGAGCUCAAUGCACCUAGCCAGGCUCCUGGGCCUCACCGCAUGGCUGUGCCUCAGAAGCCCGGAACUGCUCCAACCAGCUGACGCUCCAGAAAAAUGUUUCCCACUCCCUUUUUUUUUUAAUUUUCACUACACUUAAAGAUUAUUCCACUGGCUUAUAGUAAAUAAAACAAUACUCCUGCUCACAGAAUGUGGUCUCUGGUGUCUGUGUUCAGCCCCUCACAGCCUGAGUAACUACAAUUAUUACUAUAUACCUCUGAAUACCCAGACACUCCCACAUCCACAGUCACCCAGCUCUGCUUAAGUGU